rnacentral:lncRNA from 1 species
CCUUCUUAUUACACUCUAGCCAGAGCUUCUGAUAAGAACUUCAGUCAAGCAUCUCCCGCCACUUGUCAUUGCUUUAUUUUCUUUUCCUACAGGAUCUCAUGGAGUCAUCAUCAUCCCAUUUCAGCAGGAAGUAAUCCUAAGAAAACAGUACCCCCCUUCCCUACUGUUGGCCUUACGGAAUAAUAUUCCUGCAUAGGCACCGAGCUAUUCCCGAGAAAAUGUUGGGCACCGAUGUCACUCCUUCAGGAGUCCAUCCUCUCCUCGGCUACUGGCUUCUAGGGCAAAGAACUGCCCCCACCUCGACUGCUGUCUUUGGACAUGCUGUCCUACUGUGCUUCCAGGAGAUAAACAUCGAAGACUGUUGCCAAGUCAGGGUAAGACAGCCUUUCUACCUCCCUGCUUCUGUGUUGGUCAGCCAGAUACUCUAGGCCUUAGCCAAAGCUGGUUGCCCUUACGCUGCUGUGAGACUUUAGGUGACUGUCCUGGUAGCCUGCUGUUUCAGUCUUUGCUGCACCUUUGGAAGUUGCUCGCCUACACUUCCUGCCUACCCUAGUAUUGUUCUCCUCCUUCUCAGGUCUUUGAUGAGGUUGAAGAUUAGACUCACAAUUAUUAUUCUCUCUUCCUAGAUAGAAAUAUUAGAUACUAGACCUAAACUUUCC